rnacentral:rRNA from 1 species
CCUANGGGAGGCAGCAGGCGCGAAAACUUUGCAAUGCGAGAAAUCGUGACAAGGGAACUCCGAGUGCCCGUAAAUUCGGGCUGUCCAUCUGUUUAAAAAACAGGUGAAGAAAGGGCCGGGCAAGACCGGUGCCAGCCGCCGCGGUAAUACCGGCGGCUCGAGUGGUGGCCACUAUUACUGGGCUUAAAGCGUCCGUAGCUGGUCUGUUAAGUCUCUGGGGAAAUCUACCGGCUUAACCGGUAGGCGUUUCAGGGAUACUGGCAGACUAGGGACCGGGAGAGGUGAGAGGUACUCCAGGGGUAGGAGUGAAAUCCUGUAAUCCUUGGGGGACCACCUGUGGCGAAGGCGUCUCACCAGAACGGCUCCGACAGUGAGGGACGAAAGCUGGGGGAGCAAACCGGAUUAGAUACCCUUNUANUC